UUUCAUUUACAAAAGGCAUAUGAAUCAUGAAAAUGAUUUUCAAAAUCUGCAACGAAAGUACGAAAAUUGUAGAAUUUACUGAGCUCGUUGAAUAAAGAACUUUUUGAUUAAUUUCAACGUCGUUCUGCUGCUGUAUGGAAGACCAUUCACGGCUCAGCAUCAUCAGGAAUUAAAACAUCUUUGAAAGAAACGAAAGCUUUGCUUUAAUUUUGGAAAAGGAACGUAUCCAGGUCAACAAAACUACGAAAAGUGGAAAAAAAGAAAUUGUCUUGAUUCUGUAAAUAUGAGCAAAUUGAAUUUGGCAUAUACCAACCUUCCAACCGAGUUUCUUGAAGAAUUGCAAGAAUUAUGGUAUAGUUAUAGAAAAAAUCCAAAUGAAAAAAAUGUGUAUUGUUAUUCCUUGUAAUGUUCACAAUAAAUUAGUUCUCAGUUACUA